GAUGAGGAGCUCGGUGUUCCGUCAUUUGAACCUGCAGUCAAAGAGAGUGGAGCUGGUCUGUGUCUGGUUUAAUGUUGACGCUUCAACGGCGUUCUUUUUGACGAGGAUGACGCAGACUCCAGUUUUUCUCCAGCACAGUCAAGGUUCCUAUCACUCAUCACAGAGAAUGAGCUUAAAGAGGACAACACUGUGUGGAGGGUGCUCUAGUGCAUCAGGGUGGAAGAUGGGGUGAAUUCCUCAAGAACUAAAAUCUGCAGUCGUUGCAGAGAAUGGCCUUCAGUAAAAGUCAUAAAGCUGCUCGGCUGUAUUAGCAUGCUGGGUUCAGGGAGUUCUGGAUGGACAGAAGCAAAUGUGGAUCAGCACCACUGCACCUGAUUCUGGGAUGAACGUCUUCAGUUAUGCCCACCAGCUGUAAAUCCGUUGCGUCACCAAAGCUGCAGCCGGCUGAAUGGAUGUUUCUGUGAAGGAUAGACCUGCAGAUUCUCCAGAACUAGUGUUGGUGGUCAGAGUUCCUGAAGCUGGUACGUAUUCCAAGCUGUUCUUGGCUAGAAUGGAGAUUGACAUUUUGCCACUUUAGUUACAAAAAUAGUUUUUGGAACUUUUUUUUUAAUAAUUAUCACUAUUUGAACAUUAAAAAAUUGGGACACAUUACUUGUGUAUAUAUGUGCAAGUUUGUACUCUGUGCUUUAAAGUCCUGGGGUGUUGUAGAUGUGUCCCCUGUAACUUUGACUGUAGUGAUUAAACUCUUAAUUGGAUUUCUCCCCAAAAAUUGUACAUGCGCUCGCUAUCAUAUGUAUUUUUCUCUUUUCCUUUUAAAUGCUUGUGAAGUUGCACAGUUUGGAUUAAAACAUGAAGGGGAAAUGUUCGCUGUGAUGAUGAUGAUUUUCCUGCCAUUCGUAGUUUCCACCAGAGGUUUAAACACCAAAGAUGGUUCAAAUCUUCCUUGGAUGUCUGAGCGAACAUUAGAGGAUUGUAGCUCUGCUUUUGAACAUCUUUGUUUUAAGAACUAACUUGAUUUUUAUUCUCACUUCAGGGCAUUUAUUGCCACGGAUACAAGGCUAAUCUGUGGAUCCUCCAGACUGUUAAAGCUGGCUGGACGUCAACGUUGAUGGACCUGCAAUCAAAGAUAACUCAGCUUUUUUUUUUUUUUUUUUUUUUUUUUUUUUUUUUUUUUUUGCCCUGCUCUUUGAAAGUUGGCUGUAGUCUUAAACAUUAAUUUAAUGUUAAACAAAAAACAAGCUAGCAGUUUUUUGUGAUUAUAAAUGAGUUGUUCUUAGACUUAAAAUGACUGUUUGUUCUGUACAAGUAAAU
ensembl:lncRNA